rnacentral:lncRNA from 1 species
CUCCAAGAAGACAUGGGGUAUUUCUCAGUGUUGUGCUGCAGGGGUACAGACCACAUCUGCCCUGGCUGGGUGGGCCUCCAGAACACUGACUCCCCCAUAUCUGGCCAUGUCUGCCCACUGUGGAACUCUUUUCUGCUGAAUGAACCCUGCAUGAUUAGGAAGAGACAUGGGAGCGGAGGACGGGGCAGCUGUCAAGGAGCCCAGGUUACAGUCUCUCUGGGUCGCCAGAGCAAAUGGCCUACUUGAAGCACAUGAGUCACUGGGAGGCACAGUUGCUCAACAGCCAGUUACUGAUGCAAUGACACAUAUGGACCUCAAAGCCAAAGACUAUCUUCUUUCUCGUCAUUUCUACAGCUUUGGAAGUAGCAUUUCCCCC